rnacentral:rRNA from 1 species
AUUGAACGCUGGCGGCAGGCUUAACACAUGCAAGUCGAGCGAGCGGCGGACGGGUGAGUAAUGUCUGAGCAACUGCCUGAUGGAGGGAGAUAACUACUGGAAACGGUGGCUAAUACCGCAUACCAUCAGAUGUGCCCAGGUGGGAUUAGCUAGUAGGUGGGGUAAUGGCUCACCUAGGGGACGAUCCCUAGCUGGUCUGAGAGGAUGACCAGCCACACUGGAACUGAGACACGGUCCAGACUCCUACGGGAGGCAGCAGUGGGGAAUAUUGCACAAUGGGCGCAAGCCUGAUGCAGCCAUGCCGCGUGUGUGAAGAAGGCCUUCGGGUGGUAAAGCACUUUCAUCGAGGAGGCGGUACUCGCAGAAGAAGCACCGGCUAACUCCGUGCCAGCAGCCGCGGUAAUUC